UAAUUAUUUUAGUUAUUUUAUAUAAAAUAUUUGGUCAUUAUAUUAUAUAGUUUAUAAAUAAUAAAAAAUAAUUGAUCAAACAUUACUGAUCUUUCCAUAAUUUCAACAUUUAGUUACUAUAAGUUAUUAUCUGCAAUAUUCUAUAGAUUAUUUGGUAAGUGAUAUUAAUUGAUUAUAAACUUACCAUUAAUUUUAGAUCUAAUUAAAAUAAAUAAAAAUUAAAAAUCAUCGACCAAUUAAAUUAUAAUAAUUUUUUGAAACUUCACCAAGGAUCGACACAUAAGCGAAAGUCACUUAAGUGACUUCUCAUUUAAUAUAUAGGAGGAUAACAAAUAAUCUAAAUCAUAAAUACGCCAAUCAUAUAUUCCCAUAUUUUCAACGUAAUAAUAACAUAAAAUCAAAAAAAGAAAGCGUGAAUUUGGUAACUGAAAUAUCGAUAAUAAUAUACCAGAAAAUCUAAUAUUACAUAACUUGAAUAAACUUUAUUGUCAAGAUAAUAGUUUUUCCUAAACUCACGGCCUCUAUUUUAUAAAUAAACUGAAUGAGAAUAUUCUAAACUUGAUGCUUUUACUUUUCUUAUAUGUAUUGACGAUCUACACUCAAACCAGACACGCCAUCUAGACACAAAGCUUCUUUUCUAAUAUAAUGUCUUCUAAAACAACUUGGUUUAUUGAAGCCAAAAUCAUACACACCUGGAAACCACCAAAUGUCGGUUUUGGUGAGGCUUUAGAGAUCAUAUUUGCAGACAAAAAGGGGAUAAAAAUUCAUACUACUUGUAGGAAGAACUAUUUGAAAUCUUUGGGGGAUCAAUGUAUUGUUGGCGAAUGGAAAGACUAUUGAAAACUUCUAAGUUAGUGAACCUGGAAAACAUUUUAGACCAACAAAACUCAUGUACAUGAUAAUUUUUGGUUUUAUAUGCAGGGGUUUGAAUAUAUUCCAACUGACACAAUUUGGUUACCGGAAGUGGCUGGUGAUUUGGAAAAGAGUGAUGGAAGGACUAAGAUUCGGGACACAAGACGACAUAAAAAAAUAAAAAUAGGUCCCAUGAGGGAUUGUUUGUGAUUUUUGUUGGAUUUAAAAAUACAUCAUUGGCUUUUAAAUACGGGACCCACACUAGUGUAGUCUGGUAUAUAUCCUUCGAGUGUUUCUGGGAUAUCUGGAAAAAUAUGCAUAAUGCAGGUUCCUAAGGGAUCAGAAGACUAUUGGAGGACACAAGCAUCAAGAUGCUUUAGCUGGACUACUGGUUUUCAUAUCUUUAGGGAAUUGUGAGGUUUAGACACUGAUAAAACUUAUAUCUCACAUGAUUGGAUAGAGAAAGUAUGUAUCUAUAAGGGUAUCUCCUAUUUAGCUCAGACGAUGUUCAAUAGCGUCCGUUAUUUUGUAUGCAGUUUCCAUUAUGUGAAGGACAAGAUGUAUGGUAUUUUGAAUAUAAUUUAUAUUCUUAAAAAUAGCAAGGAUAUCAACAACCUUUGAGAGAAUAUUCUUAAAUUUAGUUUACAAAAAAAUAUUCUUAAAUUCAAAAAAAAAGAAAGAAAAACUCAAACAAGCUUACCUACAUGUAAUCCUUCUAUCAUUAUAAUCUUAUUUUGUCAUCGUAUCAUUUGAGUAUUAACUACAUGUAAUCCUGCUGUCAUUAUUUUCACACUCCAACCUGAAAAUCCUUUCUAUACUAAAUCACAAGUCACAUGAUCAAUAAAGUUGUGACACAUGGCUUGUGCUUCAAUAUAAUUUUAAAAUCAAAAUAAAAUACAUUAUUAAUAUAGUUAAGAUUUCCAUCCGAAACAAAUAAAGAUGCAUAGGUUUGUAAACUGUUCCACUAUCAAAGCCACGAUCCCCAACAUUUUGCACGUAAAUCAUCUCCUUUUGUGCACUGAAUUUUUUAAUCAUUUCAACAAAUAAUAUUUUUUUAAAAACAGUCAUCGUCCUGACAGUUUCUUCAUAUCUUCUUUCUUUUUCUCUAUGAAACUUUAUCAUUCAUUGCAUAGAUUACUUUGUGCGACGGGAGUUUCACUAGAUUUCAUAACGAGUUUGCAAAAUCUGAGUAAACAAAAACAUAAGACAUCUUUUACCAAAAAAAUAUAAGAUAUCAAUCUUUGUAUUAUUCAGUUGUUGAAACUAAUUUAGUUUGCUGCAGACAUGUAUGAGCAAUCAAAGGUACAACUGUACAAGAAGAAGAUGAGCAAUCAAAGAAAAGGUUGGAUGAGAUAUCUUCUGAGUAAAGUUGGCAAAGGUUGAAGAGGAAUGGAGUAGAGAGAGUUGCAGAAUGUUUGACCAUUCAUAUUUCAGGUAAACAAUAAUUUUGUUUACUAAAGUCUUUACAAUUUUUUUUAACAAAUGUCUAAUCGUUUUCUGUAACUAAUUUUAAAAUUUCUCAAAGAUUUGUUUUAUAAAUUUACAAGGUUUUUUAAUAACUAUCUGAAAACAAAAAAAAAAAGUUAAUAUGUUUAGAUAACACACUUUUCCCGUGAAAUUUUAACUAAUAAUUCAAAGAAUGUUUUUUUCUAAGAAAAUAAUUCAAAGAUUUUUUUUUCAAAAAAAAAUGAUUCAAAGAUUUAUUUUCAAAAAACAAUAAUUCAAAGAUUUUUUUUCAAAAAAAAAAUUCAAAGAAACUUUUUUUGAUAAAACAAGCUCAAAAACUAAGUUCACGACAUCUCCAAAAAUUAGAAAAGAAUUAUGAAAUGACAUUUUGGGAUGUUAAUCACAUUUCCAAAUUAAUCAUGUACAAUUUUAUAUGUUUGUGGUUAAUGAAUCAUAAAUGUGUGUGUGAUAUUUUUUUUGAACACUGAUAAACAUGUGUUAAUCCAUUGUUUAUGUAUAUUCAUCUUUCUGUCUGAUAAAUCACUGUAAUGUUAUAAAGGUAAUUUUAGUUAUAUGCAAUGUUAUUUAAAAAAAAAAAAGAAAAUUCUCACGCA